GAUGAAGGAACGCAGCGAAAUGCGAUAAGUAAUGUGAAUUGCAGAAUUCAGUGAAUCAUCGAAUCUUUGAACGCACAUUGCGCCCGCCAGUAUUCUGGCGGGCAUGCCUGUCUGAGCGUCAUUUCAACCCUCAUGCCCCUAGGGCGUGGUGUUGGGGAUCGGCCAAAGCCCGCGAGGGACGGCCGGCCCCUAAAUCUAGUGGCGGACCCGUCGUGGCCUCCUCUGCGAAGUAGUGAUAUUCCGCAUCGGAGAGCGAUGAGCCCCUGCCGUUAAACCCCCAACUUUCCAAGGUUGACCUCAGAUCAGGUAGGAAUACCCGCUGAACUUAAGCAUAUCAAUAGCGGAGGA
rnacentral:misc_RNA from 1 species